UGUGUUUUAUAAGUGCACGAAAAGUGUUUCCAUUGCAGUUCAGCGAAAUAAGGCUUUUUCUAAUCACCUGAAAAACCACCUUAUG